CAGUCCCUGGUGGGUGGGGCUGGGGUACAGGGCGGAGUCAGAACCUGGUGGGCGGGGCCUGACGGGGCUGGACGUGAGGCUGCGUGUGUGGGCGUGGCCCGCAAGUCCCCGCCUGCACAGAUGCAGGACUCAGGCUGCUAUGGCGGAGCUGCAUCCCUGUGCCACUUCCUACCACUGGGGUCUCAAUGUGGACACAGGACGGUGCAGCCUGCGCUGGGGGAACAGCCUUGACCAGUGAGGGGUCACCUUGGCCCCAUGGCAGCCCCCCACACCCUGAAGCGUGGUGAGUCCUCAUGCUGGUGCUGGUCAGGGAUUGGGGGGCCCUGGGCAGGUGGGAGGUCAUUGCCCAGGUCAAAGGUCAGGCAUGGAGGGAGGGGCACAGGGGCGGCGCUGCCCGGGGUCCUCUGUGUUCCCUCGUCAGAGGAUAGUGUCAGCCGGGAGAGCUGGGCGGCGGGGGCCGUUUCCAGCCCAGCUUCGCCUCUGGCUCCUGCACCUGCUCUUCAGCGCUGAGCGCGACAAGGGGACGCGAAUCCUUCCAGCCCCAGCCCAGUCCAGGGAGUCACGGGACUCCUUGGCGGUCCUGUGAUUUUUUAUGUUUUAUUGGAGAGAGACAGAGAAAUCAGGAGGGAGGAUCGGGGAAGAGACAGAGGCACCUGCAGCCCUGCUCCACCACUUGGAAGCUUCCCCCCUGCAGGUGGGGACUGAGGGGCUUGAACCCGGGUUGUCACACACCAGCACUUGCACCCCCAUGCUGUCAUGUUCCAUGUUUUCAUCAUUAAAUAGCAGUGUUGUGGUGUUUUUUUGUGUUUGUCAUGUUGGUGGGUCCACGUGUCCUUCGGUCAGGGGAGCUGAGGAGCAGCCUGGCGCCCCCAGGCACUGUGCGCUCCUGUGUUCCUGCUCGCACCCGGCUCUUCCUGUCUUUCACGGUUUACUAGCGUCACAGGGGAGGGCAAGAUGGAGAAGAGAAGCGGGAGCAGCACUCCGCACACGCACUGGACACCGCGGGGCUGCCGCCGGCAGAGGACCACUCCGUGCCCACCCGUGUCCCUUCUCGGGCCGUGCCUGCACUUUGCGGGGGGCGGGGGGCCCCAGCCCCGCUUACCCAGGAGCCCAGGGCCAAUUUUGUUAGAUUUGGGGCCUCUGGGCUGCUUGCUCAUAGUGAAGACAUCUGACACUGGGUUGAGGUGGGACCAGGGGCCUUGAACUCUGGCCCUGUGCGUGGUAGCAUGUGCUUACCUGGGUGCACCGCUGCCCGGCCCCCCAGCCCGCCAUCUCAGACAAGCCAACGCCUGAGGGCUGCUCUCCUUCCUCUAAUUUUGAAUGCCUUUCAGGUAGAGAAAACUGGACUUGGGCCCGGGGUGGGAGGGCACCUCCAGCACGGGAGGCCUUGGGUGCACAGGUCCUGUGCUCUCCCACUGAGCUUUCUCCGAGGCCUGAGAGAUCCCUGGGCAAGGAGAUGGGGCCACAGGCAGAGCAAGGGACUUCCACGUAUGAGGCCCAGAGUUUGACCCCGGCCACUGCCAAGGCUGGAGUGAUACUCCGGUUCAUUCUCUAAUAAAUCUUUUUUAAAAUGGUC